rnacentral:lncRNA from 1 species
GGUUUGUUGCUUGCCAGCAGAAGAGACAAGCUUUCUCUGCUGCCCUUGGGAAGGACACAGCAGUGUCCUGACCAUGUCAAUGAGUCUCAGAAGACCAGGUUUAGUUCUGAGGUUGUGAUCUCAGCUAGAAAACUCCCCCAAGACACCCCCACUGAGGAAGGUGAGCUAGAAAAGUGCAGCUGUAACCCCAACACUUGGAAAGCUAACAGGAAGAUCAGGAGAGCAAGGCUAGCCUAGGCGACUUGGCAAGAAACUGUCAAAGUGAAUAGAUAAACAUUAGAAAAUCUUUCCUGUGUGAAUUGAAGAAGCCCUACUAAGGCUUCAGAAGUGUGGGUUGGCCUUCCCAGUUAUGUUUGAACUAGGCAGGUUUGAACCCAGCCUGAUCUACAUAGUGAAAUCCAGGCCAACCAGAAUUGCAGGGUGUGACCCUGUCUCAAAAAAAAAAAAAAAAAAAAAAAAACCCAAAAACUUAAAUGUAUUCAUUUAGAGUGUGUGUGGUAUAUGCUUGCCACAGUGCACACUGGAGGUCAGAGGGCAGCUUUCAGUGAUUGGUUCUUGUCCCUCCUCACCAUGUGGGGUGCCUCAGGCUUGGCCACAAGGGCCUUUGCUCACUAACCUUCCCACCAGCAGAAAAUCUGUAUUUUUGUUGUUGUUAAGAUUUAUGUUUUUCGGAGCUGGAAAGAUGGCUCAGUGGCCAAGAUCAACAACUCUUCCAGAGAACCCAGGCUCAGUCCUCAGCACCCACAUGGUGGCUCACAAUUGUCUGUAACUCCAGUUCUAGGAGACCUGACACCUUUACACAGACAUACAUGCAAGCAAAACACCAAUGCACAUAAAAUGAAAAUAAAUUAUUUUUAAAGAGA